rnacentral:rRNA from 1 species
UGAGUAACGCGUAGGAAUCUACCCAGUAGCGGGGGAUAAGCCAGAGAAAUUUGGUCUAAUACCGCAUACGCCCUUCGGGGGAAAGCAGGGGAUCUUCGGACCUUGCACUAUUGGAUGAGCCUGCGUGAGAUUAGCUAGUUGGUGAGGUAAUGGCUCACCAAGGCGACGAUCUCUAGCUGGUCUGAGAGGAUGAUCAGCCACACUGGAACUGAGACACGGUCCAGACUCCUACGGGAGGCAGCAGUGGGGAAUAUUGCACAAUGGGCGCAAGCCUGAUGCAGCCAUGCCGCGUGUGUGAAGAAGGCCCUAGGGUUGUAAAGCACUUUCAGCAGUGAGGAAAGGUUAGUAGUUAAUACCUGCUAGCUGUGACGUUAACUGCAGAAGAAGCACCGGCUAACUCCGUGCCAGCAGCCGCGGUAAUACGGAGGGUGCGAGCGUUAAUCGGAAUUACUGGGCGUAAAGCGCGCGUAGGUGGAUUGGUCAGUCAGAUGUGAAAGCCCAGGGCUCAACCUUGGAACUGCACCUGAUACUGCCAGUCUAGAAUACGGUA